GUGUAGUGGCGGACGGGUUAGUAACGCGUGGGAACGUGCCCUUCUCUACGGAAUAGCCUCGGGAAACUGGGUUUAAUACCGUAUACGCCCUUCGGGGGAAAGAUUUAUCGGAGAAGGAUCGGCCCGCGUAAGAUUAGAUAGUUGGUGGGGUAAUGGCCUACCAAGUCUACGAUCUUUAGCUGGUUUGAGAGGAUGAUCAGCAACACUGGGACUGAGACACGGCCCAGACUCCUACGGGAGGCAGCAGUGGGGAAUAUUGGACAAUGGGCGAAAGCCUGAUCCAGCAAUACCGCGUGUGUGAAGAAGGCCUUCGGGUUGUAAA
rnacentral:rRNA from 1 species